AUGGCCGAGGACCCCCCGCUCAGAUCACUUCAACAUUCUAGAUCACUCAAGAACAUUGGUGAUACUCUAAAGAUGAGACUUUCUCCAGGCUUAGUGACUGUGAUAUUCUUAAUAUUUGGAAGGGCUUGUGGAGAAUCUGUGAUUCAGAAGCAAGGCCAUGUGACUGUGUCAGAAGAGGCUUCCAUGACCAUAAACUGCACUUAUACAACCACAGGGUACCCAACUCUGUUUUGGUAUGUCCAGUACCCUGGAGAAGGUCCCCAGCUCCUUAUUAAAGUCACCAAGGCCAAUGAGAUGGGAAGCCACAAAGGAUUUGAAGCCAUGUAUGAUAAAAAAGCCAUCUCCUUUCACUUGAAGAAAGCCAAAGUCCUGGUGGCUGAUUCUGCUGUGUACUACUGUGCUCUGAACUUCUCUGAUGAGGAA